rnacentral:tRNA from 1 species
GCAGUCGUGGCCGAGUGGUUAAGGCGAUGGACUAAAAAUCCAUUGGGGUCUCCCCGCACAGGUUCGAAUCCUGUUGACUGCG